AAUAACAACUUUGAUCCCUCUGCCAGUGCAGCGGUCAUUGAGAAAUCCUGACAUAAAGAAGGUAUCUGGGAGAUAAAGUUCUGCAAGCGAUGAUUACUAGCACUUAAGUUCUCUUUUUGUUGAAAGGAAGAAUCCCAGAAUGAACAGUGCAUUGAAUGAUAUGACAAGCAAGUACUUGAUCCCUGUCCAGCUGGAGGGGGAUUGUACCCAUCAGCAGCUUUUUAGCUAAGGACGUCUUUAUAUUUCCCUUCUUUGUCUGGGCCUCUCUAGUUCCUCCUUUUACUUCAUGUCAGCACUAUAUAGUAGGUAUGCCAAGUGGUUUUGAAAUUUAAAUUACAGUCUCUUUUUCAGAUGUUAUUGGAAAGAACAUGUAAUUUAUAACCACGUGUUAGGAGUACAGGAUGUUCAUGGUCCACUGCCAAUUUUUCUUUUGUAAAGUUAAUAAAACUUUCAUAAAACACUUAUACACUUGUAUAUUUCAUGGUAAAGAUUUUUUUUAUCUCAUAGGCUAAUGUAAAGAUUUAUUAAAACCAUUUUUUUGUUAAGAGGAGUGUCAAUAGUUUGCAGCUGAGUGUAAUUUUGAAUCCGUGGAAGAUGACGGUCUGAUGGAAAAUGACAGUAACAGCUUUGUUGAUUUAGCACUAAAAAUAAAGGAGCCUUUCAAAUGAGAGAACGCUCUAAUAUCCAGAGUGGGCUAGAACGCACUCAGGCCAAUGGAGGCGAGCUGGAGGAGCCGGCCACCAGCACUCCAACCCCUGGCAAGAGCGGAGAAGGACUGGAUGGAGCCCAGGUGGGAGGAACUUGAAGAGUUGAUGCAGUGUUCCUGUUGUGGCCAGUUUUCCAGUAGACCUCAAGCUCCUCAAGGUAAGAGCUUGCCCUUCACUGGUCCCUGUAUCUGUUGGGUGACCUUUGGUGAUGGAUGGGAUAGAGGGAGGUAAGCAGGCAGGCAAGAAGAAAGCAAGGGAUUCCGGACAGAAGUUCCCACAGGUGGGGAUGGAUCCAAUGAUUGGCCAUUGAGACUCAUCUGGAGAAAUUCUUCAAACAAAACAAAACAAAACACAUACGCAUGCAUUUCCAUCCUCCUGAGAUUCUGUCCGUGGGUGGGGCCCAGGCAAAGAGAUUUACCUUGAAGCUAACGCAACUUAAACUUCAGGGUCUUUUACCUGCACAGCUGCUUCCAGGGUCCUGGGAGGGGCUCCAGCAAUUUCUUUAUUCAUAAUUUUAUAUUUUUUAAAAAGUGUCCUUCAUAUGGAAUGAUCUCAGGACCCACAAAACCCGGACCAAACUCUGGCUCCAGGAUCUGGAGUUUUAGUCUGGCCAUGUGAUACACAAGAGAGGGUUGGGGGUUACUUGCUACUCAGUGUGCAGUUGACAGACCAGAGGCAUCAGCAUCAUGGGUGAGUGUGUUAGAAAUGCAGAAUCUCAGCUCCCAUUCUCAGACCCGCCGUCUGUGAGUCUACAUUUUCACAAGAUCUCUGGGCUGAUUCACAUGGGAAAAAAAUCAUAUUCAAAAUAAAGUUUGUGAAGUACUGCUCUAGUGGUUUUUCUGAGAGAAAAAAAAAAAAAUUUCCAGUUGUGAGAUCAAGGAGGCCUUCCUAGAGGAGAUGAUCUCUGAACUACGCUCAAAAGUAGAGGCAGUGUUUGAGUGUGAGGACAUAUAUUCCAGCAGAGGGAGGAAAUUUAGGAAUAAAUAAGAGUUAGGGAGCAAGAAAAGAAAAAGAAAGGAAUAAAAAAAAGGAAUAGCA
rnacentral:lncRNA from 9 species